rnacentral:tRNA from 1 species
AAGUAGGUAAGCUAAAUUUAAAGCUGUUGGGCUCAUAACCCACAAAUGGUUCCGACCCCUUCUUA